AUGGCGACCGGCGCACGGGUGAGUAACGCGUAUCCAACCUGCCCUUUACUAUGGGACAGCCCGUCGAAAGGCGGAUUAAUACCGUAUGUUGUCAUGUUGAUGCAUAUUUUCAUGACCAAAGGCUUCGGCCGGUAAAGGAUGGGGAUGCGUCUGAUUAGCUUGCCGGCGGGGUAACGGCCCACCGGGGCGACGAUCAGUAGGGGUUCUGAGAGGAAGGUACCCCCACAUUGGAACUGAGACACGGUCCAAACUCCUACGGGAGGCAGCAG
rnacentral:rRNA from 1 species